rnacentral:rRNA from 1 species
UGGGGAAUAUUGGACAAUGGGCGCAAGCCUGAUCCAGCCAUGCCGCGUGAGUGAUGAAGGCCCUAGGGUUGUAAAGCUCUUUCACCGGUGAAGAUAAUGACGGUAACCGGAGAAGAAGCCCCGGCUAACUUCGUGCCAGCAGCCGCGGUAAUACGAAGGGGGCUAGCGUUGUUCGGAAUUAUUGGGCGUAAAGCGCGCGCAGGUGGUUUAGAAAGUCUGAUGUGAAAGCCCACGGCUCAACCGUGGAGGGUCAUUGGAAACUAAUAAACUUGAGUGCAGGAGAGAAAAGUGGAAUUCCUAGUGUAGCGGUGAAAUGCGUAGAGAUUAGGAGGAACACCGGUGGCGAAAGCGGCUUUUUGGCCUGCAACUGACACUGAGGCGCGAAAGCGUGGGGAGCAAACAGG